UUUAUUUGUUUAUUUGACAGGGACAAUACAUAUAGGCAAUGUUACAUAUACUUACAAUACAACCAAUGCAUUGUACUGUAUAUAGGGCUUCUAGCUGUGGCUAAUUUGCAGUCCUGGUUAGCCUGUUUAGGAAGAAAAACACUCUAAUACAGACAUAAAAACCAACAGUUUAACAGCAGUAAACAAGCAGCCACUACAGACAGUGAGUGUAACAUUCAGAAAUGAAAAAAAAAAUGUAAUAGCAUGUAACUCAGUGUUGUUUAAGAUAUAGUGUUGCCUUAUUAUUGAAAGCUUUGAGAUUAAACAUGUUGAAGGUAAUGCCCCAGUUGGACCUUGUAAGGACAGGUAGUCAAUGAAUAAAACAGUAAACGCAACGCGGCUGAAGCUCUUGGCAAGCCUCGAUUAUCACCACCACCACCCUGCUCCUGCCAAAAAGCCUCGUUUGGCAGCAAAGAAAAGAAGUUAAAGAGAUAGAGGCAGAACAAGAGUUGGCAUCGGAGGUGACCUCCUUUGUGCACUUUUAAGUGUGAUAUUAUAACAGCUUUAUUUUCUUCAUGAGGAAAAGUGGUGCGUGUCUGGGCUUCCACUCAUGCAUGAGGAUGAGAAGCUACAGCUAAGAGACGUGAGAGCGAAGCGGGAUCAUCUGACCUGUCAGUUGGCGGAGUCCAGCGGGUCGAGGGCACAAUCCGACCCCCCGCACUCCUGGCUGAUGACAGAGCUGUGAAUGAGGCUGCUGGACAGGGACUUAGGCC